GCACCUGUAGCUCAUUUGGAUAGAGCGUUUCCCUCCGGAGGAAAAGGUGACAGGUUCGAAUCCUGUCAGGUGCACCA
rnacentral:tRNA from 1 species